UACGGAGGGUGCAAGCGUUAAUCGGAAUUACUGGGCGUAAAGCGCGCGUAGGCGGUUUUUUAAGUCGGAUGUGAAAGCCCCGGGCUCAACCUGGGAACUGCAUCCGAUACUGGAAGACUAGAAUGCGGGAGAGGGAGGUAGAAUUCCAUGUGUAGCAGUGAAAUGCGUAGAUAUAUGGAGGAAUACCAGUGGCGAAGGCGGCCUCCUGGCUCGACAUUGACGCUGAGGUGCGGAAGCGUGGGGAGCAAACGGG
rnacentral:rRNA from 1 species